AUACGGAGGGUCCGAACGUUAAUCGGAAUUACUGGGCGUAAAGCGCGCGUAGGCGGUUCGGUAAGUGGGAUGUGAAAGCCCCGGGCUCAACCUGGGAAUUGCAUUCCAAACUGCCGGACUAGAGUAUGGUAGAGGGAGGUAGAAUUUCCUGUGUAGCGGUGAAAUGCGUAGAUAUAGGAAGGAAUACCGGUGGCGAAGGCGGCCUCCUGGACCAAUACUGACGCUGAGGUGCGAAAGCGUGGGGAGCAAACAGGAUUAGAAACCCCGGUAGUCC
rnacentral:rRNA from 1 species